UUUGUAAUUUAGAAUUCAGAAACGUAUAUGUCUUAUUCUCAUUGAGUCAAAGCAAUGUUACAUAUUUAUAUAGAGAAUAAACUAAACCCUAGAGACUAAGUAAAAUUACAAUAAAGGACAUAUGUAUAUAUAUAUAUAUAUAUCAUAACACUCCCCCUCAAGCUGGAGCAAAUAUGUCGAUCAUGCCCAGCUUGUUGCACAGAUAGCUUAUCCUUGUUCCAUUUAAAGCUUUAGUUAGAAUAUCUCCCAAUUGUUCUCCGGUCUUCACAUAUCCUGUGGACACCAACCCAUCUUGGAUUUUCUCACGAAUGAAGUGACAAUCCACCUCAAUAUGUUUAGUUCUUUCAUGAAAUACUGGAUUAGAUGCAAUAUGAAGUGCAGCUUGAUUAUCACACCAUAAUUUAGCUGGCACGGUAAUACUGAAGCCUAUCUCAGAUAAUAGUUGGUGAAUCCAUACUAUUUCACACACAGAUUGUGCCAUAGCUCUAUAUUCUGACUCAGCACUCGAACGAGAAACAACAUUUUGUUUCUUACUCUUCCAUGAAACUAAGUUUCCACCUACAAAGACACAAUAUCCAGAAGUCGAUCUCCUAUCCUCACGAGACCCCGCCCAAUCAGCAUCAGAAAAACAUUCAACUCUCGUAUGUCCAUGAUCUUUGUAUAGGAUCCCACGUCCAGGAGCAGCUUUUAGAUAACACAAAAUCUGCUCUACUGCAGCCCAAUGAUCCACUGUAGGGGAAGACAUGAAUUGACUUACAACACUUACAGAAUAUGCAAUGUCUGGUCGAGUCACUGUUAAGUAGUUCAACUUCCCAACUAAUCUCCUAUAUCUCUCAGGAUCUUUACAUAAUUCUCCUUCUUUAACAAGUUGCUGAUUUGGCAUCAUUGGAGUGCCACUUGGUUUGGCGCCUAAUUUUCCUGUUUCAGACAACAAAUCAAGUACAUAUUUUCGUUGAGACAAAUAAAUACCUUUCUUGCUUCUCAUCACUUCAAUGCCCAAAAAAUAUUUCAAUUGGCCCAAAUCUUUUGUAUAAAACUGACCCUGAAGAAAAGUUUUGAGAGACGAAAUACCCAAUACAUCAUUUCCAGUAAUAACAAUAUCAUCAACAUAUACAACUAGUAGAACUAUACCCUUCUCGCAAUGUUACAUAUUUAUAUAGAGAAUAAACUAAACCCUAGAGACUAAGUAAAAUUACAAUAAAGGACAUAUGUAUAUAUAUAUAUAUAUAUCAUAACAACUUUAACUAACGAGUAGACAUGUUUAUUCUUAUUAGAUUCCUCCGUUGAAGGUUACUUUGACUUGUUAAAAUGGUUUUGUGAAUGAACUAAGAAAGAAUGUAAUGUCUUACACUAGAUACAUCAUAAAUGUGCAAUGAUUUCACACAAAGAGUGUUGAUAAAUCAACUCAUAACAGCGGUGUUGUUGCAGAUGCUACAACAUUAUGUAGAUCUAGUGCUAAAGAUAAAUUUCAAGUUAUGGAUGUAGUUUCUUAUUAUGGAGUGUUACAAGAAAUCAUCUUAUUAGACUACUAUGUCUACCAGCUUCCAAUCCUCAAAUGUGAUUUGGACAAAUGCUCACAUUGGAGUAAAAGUUGAGGAAAGAUUCACUCUUAUUAACUUGCAUCAAAGUCAAAGCAAGUUUAUACAAGAGUCUUUUAUAUUUGCCUUGUAAGCCAAACAAGUGUUUUAUGCUAGAGAAAAUGACACUUCAAAUUGGUAUAUCAUAUUAAAAGCACCACCAAGAGAGUUUCAUGACUUGAAAAUUUACAAUAAGAAUUAUAAUAUAUUUCAGUUAGUAAUGAACAUAUACGUAGUGCGCUUGAAAAUGCUGAUGAAAGUGACAAGCUUACUUAUGCAAGACAAAAUUGUGAAGGCAUUUUGAUUUGGGUAGUAGUUUGAUGCAUUAUAUAAGUGUUUGUCUAUAUGAUUAUUUUGUACUAAAAACUUUUAUUUUGUAAACGAUUGAAUACAUUUAAUAUACACUUGAUACAUCAAUGAUACAUACUUGAUAUAGUCGAUACACUCGAUACAUUACUAAUAUACACAUGAUACACUAUUAAUAUCCAUUUUGAUACACUUGUGAUAUACACUUGAUGUACUUGGUGCCCGCCUAACAGGCACUUUAUAUAAUCGAUAUACACAUUUGACGCACACAUGAUAUACACUUGAUUUAUAUUUAUGAUAAAAUAUUUUGAGUUUUGUUAAAGGAUUGGGAAAAUAAAUAAAUAAAUAAAUAUAUAUAUAUAUUGUAUAAAUAUAAACGAUAAACACGUAGUAUUGUAUCCCAAAUGCAAACUACAUGUCUCAGCUAUAAUAAUUCACUCUUUAUCCCAAACAUCCUCUAAAAGUGUAUAUCAUGAUUUUUUAUCCUAAAGUUGAUAAAUAUCAACUUAUUUAUAAAAAUGUCACAUUAUAUUAUUUAUCAGUGUCAUUAGACAUAUAUUUACUUAAUUGCCAUUAAAUUGAAAACUUUUAUCUUUGUCGUUUUCAACAUUUAUGUAUAUAAAUAUAUGUAGUAAGUGUAUCCAGUGUUUUAAAAAGCUCACUAAAGCGCGUGCGUAGGCUCAAUGCACCCACUUGAAGCUUAUUGUGAGGAAGCAAAGCGAUUUCUAAAAGCCCGGCUUAGGCGCGUGCCUCCCUUCAAGCGCGCCUAGGCUCAAGUCGCAUUAAGUGUGAGCUUUUUUUAUAACUAUGGGUUGGGCUUUAAUUAUAAAAAAUAUAUAUUAUUAAGGUACGUAAUGGUAAUUGAUGGUCAUUUGAUGAAUAAUAAUUAAGGAUAAAGCAAUAUUUAAAAAAAAAUGCAAAUAUAGCAAAACUAUCGUUGAUAGACUUGUAUCGUUAAUAGACUCGUAUGAUCUAUCAGUGAUAGACCAAUAUUUACAACAUAGUCUAUCGGUGAUAGACUUGUAUCAUUGAUAGAAUUUGACAAAUUUUGCUAUAUUUGUAAAUUUUUUAAAAUGUUGCUAUAUAUAUACUUAAUUAUUUAGAAUCUAAUUGCUAAAUUUGAAAGUAUCACAUAUCAUUAUAUAGGUUUUUUAAACCUAUUACGUGAAAGUGAAGAAACGACCCUUCACCCUUCUCCUCCCGCACACGAAUUUUCUUUAACGCACGACUCUUCAUCUACUUCUUCCGUUCCUUUUUGCUUCUACUUCAAAGAAACUUUUAUAUUAUUUAAAAUAUUUUUCCACCGAACUAGGUCUUAUUAUUGCACCAAACUAGGUUACCAAACUAUAUAUUCUUUUCUUACUUUAUUUUUAUGAGUUGUUUCUCUCUUACAAUUGUUAUAACAUCAUGUGUACUAAGUAUUUUUAGUGUGUUAGAUAAUUUGAACGUAUUUCAAAUUUAUCAAUAAAUUAAAACUCAAAUUUUAUUAUUUUAUGUUAUAGACUUUGUAUUUUGUAAAAAAAAAUAACCGAGUCUCUAAUUAACUAAUCGAUUUACUUUGUCAAGAAAUCUCAUUAAACAUUAAUACUAAUUUUAUAUAAUAUGAACUAAUUUGUCAGGAAGUUCAAGUGUAAUAUUUGUUUCUUUUAGAAUUUGCACCCAACAGCCAAAUCUUUUAAUAAAAUUAUGUAUCACCUCUAUGGAGUAUAUUAAUAUUGAACAAAUAAAAAAUGAUGUUAAUUUAUUUUUAUAAAUACCAAAAUUACCUUAUUCCCUUCCUUCCUCCUAACCUAAUGUAGUUGGGGUAAUGUAAUUAAUCUUUCCAAAUAUGAUUAAACUAUAAUAUAUUAUGUAAUUAACUAGAAAAAUUAUCUUCUUGUUCUUUCAAUUUUUAGUUUUUAUUAUAGCUUUUCAGUAUAAAAACCAUAACACAUUUUAGUUUUAAUUGAAAAAAAAAAUACCAUUAUGAUACUUUUUACUGAAGCCUUAUAAUUCUGCUUAUUAUGGAUCAUUAAUAAUCAAUCUACUAUAUAUGAUAAAUAGCUAUUAUAUUACAAGGUGGAAGGAAAAUUAAUAAAUAAUAGAGAAAAAGCUUUUAAUAAAAUUAAGCUCGUAUUAGUUAUUUAGUAUAUUGCAAAUAUGGUAAAAAUUAUUAAUAAUAUAGGACAAAUAAAAAAUCAUGUUAAUUUAUUUUUAUAAAUACCAAAAUUAUCAUCUUUCCUUCCCGCUAACUUUAUUGAAUAAAAAAUGUAAUAUCUCGCCAACGUGCUUGAACGUCUCCUUAAAAUUGAAAUAGGAAUUCUUAUCUGAAUGCAAUAGUAGAGCGUGUUGUUUUUUUUUUUUAAUUGUGUUGAUGUGAGCGAAUGGCUACACUUGAAGAUUUGGUUCCAGUCGUCUGGAGAGUCGGUGAGGGCUCAAAGAAUCUAAAAGAAAGUGAGGAUUUCGACUUUGGUGUGUAUUUUGAUUUCAGAUGUAUGGUUUGAAUUGUAUUUGAAUGGGUUUUAUUUCUUUUUUCGAUCAAAGUCAGGAUAUGAAGAGAGUGACAUGAGAUAUCAACCUAAUUGAAAUGUUCGAAUGCCUUUAUUGGUCUCAUAGGCUUUGAUCUUGUCUCUUCAUUGGACUCAAAGAGUACUUUGUCUAUUCAUUUUUUUAUGAGAGGCUUGUUUCCUUUUUAAAAAAAAAAUAAAAAAUCACAAGUGAGAUGGAGUUUUGGAUUGAACGGGUGACGGUGAUUUAAGACUUUGAUUCUAGAAAAACUAGAUUGAAUAUAAAAUUUAAAAUUUUAUUAAGCGUUUUUCAUUAUAUUCUAACCAAAGCAUCAGAGAAGUCGUCACCUACUUUUGAUUAAUUAUUUAGAAGGGAAGGAAUGGUCAUGUACUUGAUUUGAGUUCAUGAAGAAAGAAGUAAACUUAAAUAUCAGAAACACUCUAUAUAUAACAAGGCAAGAAGAGAACCGAGAAUUACAAAAUUAGGUGACACCGAACAAUAAUCAAACCACAAUCUUUUUAUAAGAGGAAAUCAAAUAGAUGAUGAACAAUCUUAAGAAUGAACUUGACUAACCUUGUAUCUGUGAUACUGGUCCACCGCUACAUCACCAUUGCUGCCAUCCAGGAUCUUGCCUGCAGACAUGGCAGAAGCAGAAUAAGUUUUAAAACCAUGAUGGAAUCAGCUUAGCUCUUUGGUUAGAGAAAUUAUAAGGGACGACAGAACUUAAAAAUCAAAGAACAGUGAUUACCUUUAAUAUGUGUAAAUUCAUCACAGAUACAAGGGCCUCUACCUCCCUCGUUGGCAGCACCUUCAACCUAUAAAAUCAAAUUUAUCAAUUAUCCAUAGUAAGUUUAUUUUUGUUGCUACGUCUAAUAUUAGUUAAUUAACUAUUAACAAAAUAAAUCAAUAAGUAACAGAACUAUUUUGAUACCAAUAGUUUGAUUGAAACAGUACGAUGAGGCCAAGUGUAUGUAAUCAUAAUAAUAAUAAUUUGACAUGUUUUAAUACAUUGUUUUAUUUUAGAAACCAUCUCAAACGUCUGAGUUCAAAAAACUCUUCUUCCACGUUCACUCUAGAAUCAUUUAACCCCUUCAAUAGAUACCAAAUCCAUGAAAUGUGAAAAUAUCGAUACAAAUAUAUAAAAAUUUAAAUUUAUGGUUUUAACCUAAAAUUUGGGUUUUUAUUUUAAAUGUUAAAGAAUGUGAUAUAAAAAUUGAAUUAAUGUGUUUUUUUAUUAAUAUUUUUUUAAGUUUAAAGGGGUUAAUGAAACUUGGUUGUAGUGUUCUUAAAAAAGAUUUUUAACAAUUUCUAACUAAACUAACCAUAAGUAAAUUUUUGAAUCAUUUUCAAAGUUUUAAGAAUGUUUUUAGGACUUUUGAAAGUCUGAUAUUUGUAACAUCUUUUAUAAUUUAGUGUAGUUCUUUCUAAUAAUUAAGGUGGAUCCUAUUAUUAUUCUUUCUAAUAGUUCUUUCUAGUAAUUGAUUCAUGUAACAAAUUCAAUUCAAUGGAAUAAAAGCUUUGAUAAUAAUUGCAAAUUAAACAAUCAUAUUCAAUGUGACACAGAAAGGGAUACUUUUGUCCAUAUUUGGUCUUCGUGGGCACCGCAUGCCUUUACCCCUAUUAUAAUCUCAAAACAAUUGGUCGUUGGGGCCAACAAAGAGAAAAGGCUGUAAGAGAUGCCCUUGUAGUAGCCCCUCCAUAAUGUGUAAAUAUUGAAAUUCGUUGAUCAAAUUGCCACAUUUACAUAUUUCUAACUUAACUGCUGCAUGUAUAAAUAUAAGUUGAGAUCUCACCAUAUAAUUCAAUUGCACUUGUACAUAAUUUACACAUUAUUUUAUUUAGCAAAAUACAUGUGAAUAUCUCACUAUUUUAUCGAUGAAAACAAAAACCGACUAGCCAGUUCAACACCACCACCUACCAAAUUAACAAACUAACAUCUGAAACAAUUAAGCUAACAUAACAUGUGCAAAUUAAACAAUGGAACAGAAACUCCCAUUGUAUAAAUAUAAAAUGAAAGUAGGAAGAGAAUGAUGCCACUACAAGUCUUCUCAGUAUUUAUGAAGAGGAAUAACAAAAAUAAUAGCUCAAACAUAGUAAGAUUGCAUAACCACAGCCAGAGAGUAUUAACGUUACAUGGAGAUUAUUGCUAGUAAAUCGUUCAGAAUUAUUGGUACAUGAGAGAACACACACCAAACUUGGAAGGCAAGAAAUCAGAAAAUUGAUGGUUUUAGAAUAUGAUUUCAGCGUUUGCAACACGAUACCAUCAAUAUAUAUUCACUCCUCUUCUUCUGCCUCUUCCAGCCAAUUCACAAAAGGUUCCAGUGCCUUCACGAAGCUCUGCCUGUUAUGUUGCAUUUAUAAUUGCAGAUUUUGUAAGUAAAGACACAAAGGAUUUGUAAAUAACAAAACAAAGCUGCAGAUCAAGGACGAGGAAGAUGGAUGAUUGGCAUACCUGCCCUUGGGGUUUGUCCCUUUACGGAACCAAUGGAGUAUGGUGUCCUCAGCAAGCACAUCCUGGUCGUACAGAGACCUUACAAUUUCAGGGAAAAGUUUCAUCAACUUGGCAUCCUCAUAACAUUGCAUCUGAACUUUGUAGAUCAACUCCAGCUCCAGUUUCCCUGUGCUACAGAAGGUAUUC
rnacentral:lncRNA from 1 species